CAAUAGCGUAUAUUAAAGUUGUUGCAGUUAAAAAGCUCGUAGUUGGAUUUCGGGGUGGCCUGCCUGGUCCACCGCAAGGUGAGUACUGGUCAGCCGCCCUUCCUCUCGAAAGCCCCGACUGCUCUUCAUUGCAGUGGUCGGGUAGUUCGGGACGUUUACUUUGAAAAAAUUAGAGUGUUCAAGGCAGGCCGUCGCCUGAAUACAUUAGCAUGGAAUAAUGGAAGAGGACCUCGGUCCUAUUUUGUUGGUUUCUAGGGCCGAAGUAAUGAUUAAGAGGGACAGUUGGGGGCAUUCGUAUUUAAUUGUCAGAGGUGAAAUUCUUGGAUUUAUGAAAGACGAACUAGUGCGAAAGCAUUUGCCAAGGGUGUUUUCAUUAA
rnacentral:rRNA from 1 species